rnacentral:rRNA from 1 species
CCUACGGGAGGCAGCAGUGGGGAAUUUUGGACAAUGGGCGAAAGCCUGAUCCAGCAAUGCCGCGUGCAGGAAGAAGGCCUUCGGGUUGUAAACUGCUUUUGUACGGAACGAAACGGUCUGCUUUAAUACAGUGGGUUAAUGACGGUACCGUAAGAAUAAGCACCGGCUAACUACGUGCCAGCAGCCGCGGUAAUACGUAGGGUGCGAGCGUUAAUCGGAAUUACUGGGCGUAAAGCGUGCGCAGGCGGUUAUAUAAGACAGUUGUGAAAUCCCCGGGCUCAACCUGGGAAUUGCAUCUGUGACUGUAUAGCUAGAGUACGGUANAGGGGGAUGGAAUUCCGCGUGUAGCAGUGAAAUGCGUAGAUAUG